CCUACGGGUGGCAGCAGUGAGGAAUAUUGGUCAAUGGGCGUAAGCCUGAACCAGCCAAGUCGCGUGAGGGAUGAAGGUUCUAUGGAUCGUAAACCUCUUUUAUAAGGGAAUAAAGUGUGGGACGUGUCCUGUUUUGUAUGUACUUUAUGAAUAAGGAUCGGCUAACUCCGUGCCAGCAGCCGCGGUAAUACGGAGGAUCCGAGCGUUAUCCGGAUUUAUUGGGUUUAAAGGGUGCGUAGGCGGCCUUUUAAGUCAGCGGUGAAAGUUUGUGGCUCAACCCUAGAAUUGCCGUUGAAACUGGGAGGCUUGAGUAUGUUUGAGGCAGGCGGAAUGCGUGGUGUAGCGGUGAAAUGCUUAGAUAUCACGCAGAACCCCGAUUGCGAAGGCAGCCUGCCAAGCCGUGACUGACGCUGAUGCACGAAAGCGUGGGGAUCAAACAGGAGUAGAUACCCCUGUAGUC
rnacentral:rRNA from 1 species